UACGGGGGGAGCAAGCGUUGUUCGGAUUUACUGGGCGUAAAGGGCGCGUAGGCGGACGAUCAAGUUGGGGGUGAAAUCCCGGGCUUAACCUCGGAACUGCCUCCAAAACUGAUAGUCUAGAGUUUGGGAGAGGUGUGUGGAACUCCGAGUGUAGAGGUGAAAUUCGUAGAUAUUCGGAAGAACACCAGUGGCGAAGGCGGCUCACUGGCCCGAUACUGACGCUGAGGUGCGAAAGCGUGGGGAGCAAACAGG
rnacentral:rRNA from 1 species